rnacentral:rRNA from 1 species
AUACGGAGGAUCCGAGCGUUAUCCGGAUUUAUUGGGUUUAAAGGGUGCGCAGGCGGGAGAUUAAGUCGGCGGUGAAAUUUUGCAGCUCAACUGUAAAAGUGCCCUCGAAACUGGUUUCCUUGAGUGUAGAUGAAGUAGGCGGAAUUUGUGGUGUAGCGGUGAAAUGCAUAGAUAUCACGAGGAACUCCGAUUGCGCAGGCAGCUUACUAAACUACUACUGACGCUCAGGCACGAAGGCGUGGGGAUCAAACAGGAUUAGAUACCCUGGUAGUCCACGCAGUAAACGAUGAUUACUAGCUGUUUGCGAUACAAUGUAAGCGGCUGAGCGAAAGCGUUAAGUAAUCCACCUGGGGAGUACGUUCGCAAGAAUGAAACUCAAAUGAAUUGACGGGG